rnacentral:rRNA from 1 species
AGAGUUUGAUCAUGGCUCAGGAUGAACGCUGGCGGCGUGCCUAACACAUGCAAGUCGAGCGAGAAGCUCAUGACAGAAUCUUCGGAUGACAGAGUGAGUGGAAAGCGGCGGACGGGUGAGUAACGCGUAGGCAACCUGCCCUUUGCAGAGGGAUAGCCUCGGGAAACCGGGAUUAAAACCUCAUAACGCCCUGUUAAGACAUCUUAGCGAGGCCAAAGAUUUAUCGGCAAGGGAUGGGCCUGCGUCUGAUUAGUUAGUUGGUGGGGUAACGGCCUACCAAGGCAGCGAUCAGUAGCCGACCUGAGAGGGUGAACGGCCACAUUGGAACUGAGACACGGUCCAAACUCCUACGGGAGGCAGCAGUGGGGAAUAUUGCACAAUGGGCGAAAGCCUGAUGCAGCAACGCCGCGUGAAGGAAGAAGGCCCUUGGGUCGUAAACUUCUGUUCUAAGGGAAGAUAAUGACGGUACCUUAGGAGCAAGUCCCGGCUAACUACGUGCCAGCAGCCGCGGUAAUACGUAGGGGGCGAGCGUUAUCCGGAAUUAUUGGGCGUAAAGAGUACGUAGGUGGUUAUCUAAGCGAGGGGUUUAAGGCAAUAGCUCAACUAUUGUUUGCCCCGCGAACUGGGUGACUUGAGUGCUGGAGAGGAAAGCGGAAUUCCUAGUGUAGCGGUGAAAUGCGUAGAUAUUAGGAGGAACAUCAGUGGCGAAGGCGGCUUUCUGGACAGUAACUGACACUGAGGUACGAAAGUGUGGGGAGCAAACAGGAUUAGAUACCCUGGUAGUCCGCACCGUAAACGAUGAGCACUAGGUGUCGGAUCCGCAAGGAAUCGGUGCCGCAG